GAUGAAGAACGUAGCGAAAUGCGAUACGUAAUGUGAAUUGCAGAAUUCAGAGAAUCAUCGAGUCUUUGAACGCACAUUGCGCCCCCUGGUAUUCCGGGGGGCAUGCCUGUCCGAGCGUCAUUGCUGCCCUCUAGCACGGCUUGUGUGUUGGGCCUCCGUCCUCCUCCCGGGGGACGGGCCCGAAAGGCAGCGGCGGCACCGCGUCCGGUCCUCGAGCGUAUGGGGCUUCGUCACCCGCUCUUGUAGGCCCGGCCGGCGCUUGCCGACACAUCAAUCUUUUUUCCAGGUUGACCUCGGAUCAGGUAGGGAUACCCGCUGAACUUAAGCAUAUCAAUAAGCGGAGGA
rnacentral:misc_RNA from 1 species